GCGAGGCAAGGCCAUCAAUUAUUCAGCUCUGCCUCUCAGCCUCCUCUUGCUCUCAGUUAGUACCUCGUAAAGCCAGGGAAGAUAAAUCUCUCCCCUGGCUUCUGCGGCCCUGACUGGGAGCAGGGUGAGCACGGGCGAUGGCAGGCACUGGCCCCUGGUUCCUCCGGCCUCCUGGGGCCCUGAGCUGGCACAGUGCAACCCAGGCAGCCCUGUGAGCCUCCUCUGCUAUUAAACCCAUAAUUCAGGGGAGACUGACAGAGUGAGGCGCACUCGGUCCCCGUGAUGAGGAAAGAGCCGCCCAUCCAAGAACUGCGAGAGAGGCUGAGGUGAGGGCUGACGCCGGUCACACGCAGGUCUCGGUUUUCAGGGGCUGCAUUUAGAUCUGGAGCCCAGGCCCUUCUCCCAAGGAAUCUUGGAGCCCGGCUGCUCACAAGGAGACCGUGGAGGAUUCUGCAAGGGCCAAAGCAGCCAAGAAACGAGCAAGGCAAGCAAGGAACAGGAGAUGCCUGCGGGAAAUGCUGAGCCUGUCUGCAUGCUCUCAACCAUACCCGGGAUGCAGGGCGUGAAUGCUGCUCCACACUCUGUGCAGCCAGAGAGGCCGCGGACCUUGGAGACCACUUGGGUGUGGUACUUGCAGCCUGAACCUCCAGAACGACACUUGUCCCCAUGAAAACCGAUGACUUGGACAACCUGACGUCUUGGAGGUCCAGGGCCUUCAGGGGCACACCUUUCCCCAGCACUGCAGUGGCAGACCAGCGCCCCGACCGGCCGUCCUCGGACCGCUCAGCAUGCAGGAGGACUAGCCCCACGCGGCCGCUGUGCAGCUCGCCCGUGUCCCACAGCCAAUCUUCAAUCAGCCCCAAAGCCCCUGAAUUCCCCACAGCUCGGCCCACAGCACGGCCGGCUUUGGGUGCCACUGGCUACAUAUAUUGAACCUGAAGCAUCGGAUUGCAUAUUUGUUCAAUAGCAAUAAACUCC
rnacentral:lncRNA from 1 species